rnacentral:rRNA from 1 species
GACAGAGAGGGCAAGCGUUGCUCGGAAUUACUGGGCGUAAAGGGCGCGUAGGCGGGAUGACAAGUCGGUCGUGAAAUCCCUCGGCUCAACCGAGGAACGUCGAUCGAUACUGCUGUUCUUGAGGAUUGCAGAGGAGACUGGAAUUCCCGGUGUAGCGGUGAAAUGUGUAGAGAUCGGGAGGAACACCGGUGGCGAAGGCGGGUCUCUGGGCAAUUCCUGACGCUGAGGCGCGAAAGCCAGGGGAGCAAACGGG